AGCGAACGCUGGCGGCAGGCCUAACACAUGCAAGUCGAACGAACCUUUCGGGGUUAGUGGCGGACGGGUGAGUAACACGUGGGAACGUGCCUUUAGGUUCGGAAUAACUCAGGGAAACUUGUGCUAAUACCGAAUGUGCCCUUCGGGGGAAAGAUUAAUCGCCUUUAGAGCGGCCCGCGUCUGAUUAGCUAGUUGGUUGAGGUAAUGGCUCACCAAGGCGACGAUCAGUAGAUGGUCUGAGAGGAUGAUCAGCCACAUUGGGACUGAGGCACGGCCCAAACUCCUACGGGAGGCAGCAGUGGGGAAUCUUGCGAAAUGGGCGAAAGCCUGACGCAGCCAUGCCGCGUGAAUGAUGAAGGUCUUAGGAUUGUAAAAUUCUUUCACCGGGGACGAUAAUGACGGUACCCGGAGAAGAAGCCCCGGCUAACUUCGUG
rnacentral:rRNA from 1 species